CGGAAGGUUUGUUGGGGGGACAAAGAGACAUGCAGUAGGGAAGGGGAACAAAGUGACACAAGAUUUGUGGGAGGCAACGCUGGGCUGAGGAAAAAGAGACAGAGAGUGACUGGGAGAAGAGAAAGAGGCACACGGAGUCUGGAGUUAGAAAGGGACACACAGAUGAGAUUUGGAAGGGGAGAAAGAGACAAAGUGGCUGGGGCUAAGAACAACACAAAAGGGGCUGGGGGAAAGAGAAAUACAGAGGCUGGAGAAGGGUAAAAAGAAACACACAGGGACUGGGAUGAAGUAAAAGAUGCA